rnacentral:rRNA from 1 species
CCCUUAGAUGUCCGGGGCCGCACGCGCGCUACACUGUUUGAUUCAGCGAGUCUUAACCUUGACCGAAGGGUUUGGGUAAUCUUCUAAAGUCAAACGUGAUGGGGAUCGAUCAUUGCAAUUAUUGAUCGUGAACGAGGAAUUCCUAGUAAAUGCAAGUCAUCAGCUUGCGUUGAUUACGUCCCUGCCCUUUGUACACACCGCCCGUCGCUACUACCGAUUGAAUGGUUUAGUGAGAUCUCCGGAUUGGCUCUGUAGGUCCCGCAAGGGAUUUAUUAGUAGCCAAGAAGCUGCUCAAACUUGAUCAUUUAGAGGAAGUAAAAGUCGUAACA